rfam:Chlorocebus sabaeus isolate 1994-021 chromosome X, whole genome shotgun sequence.
AGAUGUGAGGGUGAUCUGGCUGUGACAUCUGUCACCCCACUGAUUGCUAGGGUUGAUUCAGCUGAUCUGGUUGGCUAGGCGGGUGUCCCCUUCCUCCCUCACAGCUCCAUGUGCAUCCCUCCAGCAACUCUCCCACCUCAUCCUGCUGAGCAGCUGGGACUGUGGGCACACACCACCACACCCAGCUAAUUUUGUCUGUUUAUUUAUUUAUUUAGAGAUGGAGUCUCGCUCUGUCGC